AACGAACGCUGGCGGCAGGCCUAACACAUGCAAGUCGAGCGCACCUUCGGGUGAGCGGCGGACGGGUUAGUAACGCGUGGGAACGUGCCCUUCUCUACGGAAUAGCCUCUGGAAACGGAGAGUAAUACCGUAUACGCCCUUUGGGGGAAAGAUUUAUCGGAGAAGGAUCGGCCCGCGUUAGAUUAGGUAGUUGGUGGGGUAACGGCCUACCAAGCCUACGAUCUAUAGCUGGUUUUAGAGGAUGAUCAGCAACACUGGGACUGAGACACGGCCCAGACUCCUACGGGAGGCAGCAGUGGGGAAUCUUAGACAAUGGGGGCAACCCUGAUCUAGCCAUGCCGCGUGAGUGAUGAAGGCCUUAGGGU
rnacentral:rRNA from 1 species